rnacentral:sRNA from 13 species
UUCUAGCUCAAUUUUGAGGGAAGUUAUGCGCCUUCAAAGUUUUAGGUGAGACGCAGAGAAAGAGACAGUCGUUUUCUCUGCCGUCUCGCACUCUCUCAUUUCUAACUUUAAAGGCGCAUAACUCAUUUCAAAAUUGAGCUAGAG